GAUGAACGCUGGCGGCGUGCCUAAUACAUGCAAGUCGAGCGAACAGAUGAGGAGCUUGCUCCUCUGACGUUAGCGGCGGACGGGUGAGUAACACGUGGAUAACCUACCUAUAAGACUGGGAUAACUUCGGGAAACCGUAGCUAAUACCGGAUAAUAUAUUGAACCGCAUGGUUCAAUAGUGAAAGACGGUUUUGCUGUCACUUAUAGAUGGAUCCGCGCCGCAUUAGCUAGUUGGUAAGGUAACGGCUUACCAAGGCAACGAUGCGUAGCCGACCUGAGAGGGUGAGAGGGCCCACUGGAAAUGAGACACGCUCCCGACACAUCCGGGAGGGACCGGUAGGGGAUCUUGCGCGAAGGGGGCGAGACUGAGAGAGCACAGCCCCGCGAGAGAUGAAAGUCUUUGGAGAGCAAAAAUCUGUUAUAUGGGAAGAAAACAUGUGUGAGUGAAUGUGUACACCUUGACGGUACAUCAUAAGAAAGACCCGCCUCAAUCCACG
rnacentral:rRNA from 1 species